rnacentral:rRNA from 1 species
UACAGAGGGGGCAAGCGUUGUUCGGAAUUACUGGGCGUAAAGGGCGCGUAGGCGGCCUUCUAAGUCGAACGUGAAAUCCCUGGGCUCAACCCAGGAACUGCGUCCGAGACUGGGAGGCUAGAAUCCGGGAGAGGGAUGUGGAAUUCCAGGUGUAGCGGUGAAAUGCGCAGAUAUCAGGAAGAACACCCGUGGCUAAGGCGGUUCUCUAGUACGGUACUGACGCUGAGACGCGAAAGCGUGGGGAGCGAACAGG